AUAAGCUCAGGCUUUUCCUACCUUUGUGGGGGAAUAUGCCCUGGAAACACUGAAGGCCAGGCCAGAUGGGGUUGUGAGCAACCUGGUCUAGUGGCAGGUAUCCCUGCCUAUAGCAGGGUGGUUGAAACUAGAUGAUCUUAAAGGUCUCUUCCAACCCAAACCGGUCUAUGAUUCUAUGACACAGAAAGCAGGCAUCAUUCAUCAUACUGGACAGCCUUAAAUAUCUGUAAAAUUUUCAGAUAAGAUAAUACUCAUGAAAAUCAUGGGUGGCCCAUUUGGAUGCAGCCUGAAUAUCACAUGUGAUCUGCCUUUCUUGGCUUUGCUGUGUUUGUCUACAAAGGCUCCCAAGACUUCCCAGCUCUCACUGACCUGGAUCUUGGCUCCAAAUGAAGGCAAAGCUCAUUCUCUCUGUUGUACAGGGAAAGAACCUGGAACAUCAGAAGAUACAGCCCAUAUUGGUAUUCUACAAGACAAAAACAGCACAUCUGCACCUUACUUCUUACAGCUAUGGCAUAUGAAUGUGGGUAAGCAAGGGAUGCUGCAGCCACAGAGCAGUGGUGCUCGCUCAAAGCUCCAUCGAUGCUCAUUCUGGAUAAGUGUACGGCAAUCUACAGAAAAGAACCUGCCAAUGAUCCUUCCUUUGGCAGCGUAUCCAACAAUCAACUGACCUCAUCACAUCCCUUCUCUGAUCAUUUUUAAUUUUUUUCUCAUACUGAUAUUCUUCCAGAAACAACCAUUUAUCUGACUGCACGGCACCUGGCACAGGCAAGUCUUUUCAGGUCCUACUGCAACACAGCAAAUGACAUACAGAGGGAAAAAUAUCUCUGUUCAAAAGGAGAUGCAUUCAGGAGAGAUGGGGAGAUGGAAGAGACAGAGGCAAGGCAAGGUGUGUAGGCUGCCCAGCAGCAGCAUGGUAGCUCACCCAUGGGAGACAAUGCAUGAGGCGUAGUGGCAGAGGAUGAAUGAUUGUGCAUAUAUUUGGAGGCUAUCAGCAUGCACAUAUAAUGAAAGCCAAUCAAAUGCAUAUGACAGAUUGUAAAGCUUUUGUGUGUUGUUUAAAAACCCACGUUUUCAGAUUAUCUGCCCUUACAGAGCAUCUCAAUAACAUAGUUUUACUCUGGCUGAGAAAUUACAGGCAUCCUGCCCACACACAAAGCCUGACAUUUCCAAUCACAUCAUUUCCCCUUUCAUUUUUAACAGGAAAAAAAAAAACAAAAACACAACGCAACUCUCAACAUGACAUAUCAUUUACCCGUGGAGCCAGUUGUGGUUUCAUCUACAGCUGCCAGAGCAUGACUACAACAGCUACAGAUGAGCAGGCUGAGAGGCUGUUCUACAUAAGCUUCCAAAGUUGAUCGUAAGUUCAGCAAACCAGCUACUGAAGUGGAUUAGUGAUAUUAUGAUUUGUGCUGUGUCUUCAUGCAAACAAAGAACCAGGAAAGAAAAAGUGACAUUUAUUGUUACAAUAGAGAUAUAUAGCAGAAUUGGGGUAUCAAAUGUGACAUUACAAGGACUUGGAAGGGCAAGGUUCACUGAGACUUAAUUCAGAGUAGUGGGUGUUUCUCAGAUUUGUUGCAGGCCCAAAGAUUUUGCCCUGUUACAGUGCCAUAGUUACUCUUUCCAAUUAUGUAGUGCUGCCAUCAGAUUUUUGUUGAACCCUGAGAGGU
ensembl:lncRNA